GGUGGAUGCCUUGGUGCCAGGAGGCGAUGAAAGACGUGGUUAGCUGCGAUAAGCUUCGGGGAGCCGCUAAACAGGCUUAGAUCCGGAGGUUUCUGAAUGGGGGAACCCGGUCCGUGUCAUGACGGAUCAUCUGCAACUGAAUACAUAGGUUGCAGAAGCGAACGAGGGGAACUGAAACAUCUAAGUACCCUCAGGAAAAGAAAACGACAGUGAUUCCCUAAGUAGUGGCGAGCGAACGGGGAAGAGCCUAAACCGAUUGUGUGUGAUAGCCUGCAAGCGUUGCAUAGUCGGGGUUGCGGAACUUCAUUGGAGGAGAUUGCAGUUUCCUCGGAAAGUUACAAAAUCUGUUUAUAGCUGAAGUCGUUGGAAAGCGACGUCACAGAGGGUGAUAGCCCCGUAAGCGAAAUGAACAGAUCUUUCUGGGUGGAGUUUCCAAGUACUGCGGGACACGAGAAAUCCCGCAGGAAACUAGGGGGACCAUCUCCUAAGGCUAAAUACUACCUGGCAACCGAUAGUGAACCAGUACCGUGAGGGAAAGGUGAAAAGUACUCCGAGAGGAGAGUGAAAUAGUACCUGAAACCGUGCGCCUACAAGGUGUGGAAGGACCAGGGAUAGGGCUUGCCUUAUCCGGUCUGACUGCGUGCCUUUUGUAUAAUGAGUCAGCGAGUUACUCUACGUAGCAAGGUUAAGCCGACAGGUGGAGCCGUAGCGAAAGCGAGUCUGAAUAGGGCGAUUUAGUUAUGUGGAGUAGACCCGAAACCAGGUGAUCUAUCCAUGGCCAGGGUGAAGCGCAUGUAACAGUGCGUGGAGGCCCGAACCGGUGUGAGUUGAAAAUCGCUCGGAUGAGCUGUGGAUAGGGGUGAAAGGCCAAUCAAACUUGGAAAUAGCUGGUUCUCCCCGAAAUAUAUUUAGGUAUAGCCUUGCAACUUUAAGUAUCGGAGGUAGAGCACUGAAUGGGCUAGGGGUCUUACCAGACUACCAACCCCAAUCAAACUCCGAAUGCCGAUAACUUCAAUUGCAGGAGUCAGACUGCGGGAGAUAAGUUCCGUAGUCGAGAGGGAAACAGCCCAGACCGCCAGCUAAGGUCCCGAAUACAUGCUAAGUGGAAAAGGAUGUGGAAGCGUAUAGACAGCCAGGAGGUUGGCUUAGAAGCAGCCACCCUUCAAAGAAAGCGUAAUAGCUCACUGGUCAAAUGAGUCUGCGCCGAAAAUUUAACGGGGCUCAAGCAUGUAACCGAAGCUGCGGACUCGCAUCGCAAGAUGGGAGUGGUAGGGGAGCAUUCUGUAUCAGGUUGAAGCCGGAUCGUAAGGCCCGGUGGACGAAACAGAAGAGAUUAUGCUGACAUAAGUAGCGAUAAAGUCUGUGAAAAACAGACUCGCCGAAAACCUAAGGUUUCCUGAGUAAAGUUAAUCUUCUCAGGGUUAGUCGAUCCCUAAGCUGAGGCCGACAGGCGUAGGUGAUGGGAAACAGGUUAAUAUUCCUGUACCACUAAAGACGCGUUAUUAACGAUGGGGGGACGCAGAAGGGUAAGCCAUCCGGGUGUUGGAUGUCCCGGUUCAAGCUGGUAGGAGGAGAUUCCAGGUAAAUCCGGAAUCUUAUUAAACUCCGAGAAGCGAUGAGGAGAGAUUUAUCUCAUAAACUGGUUGAUCCCAUGCUGCCAAGAAAAGCCUCUAGUGAGUUUCUUUGGUGAUCGUACCGCAAACUGACACAGGUAGGUAAGGAGAGUAUCCUAAGGCGCUUGAGUGAUCUCUCGUUAAGGAACUCGGCAAAAUAACACCGUAACUUCGGAAGAAGGUGUGCCUCAUUAGCGUGAAGCGAUUAGCACGUGAAGCGCGAAGAGGUUGCAGUGAAACGGCCCAAGCGACUGUUUAGCAAAAACACAGCACUCUGCUAAGUCGUAAGACGAUGUAUAGGGUGUGACUCCUGCCCGGUGCCGGAAGGUUAAGGGGAUUUGUUAGCCGCAAGGCGAAGCUUUGAACCGAAGCCCCGGUAAACGGCGGCCGUAACUAUAACGGUCCUAAGGUAGCGAAAUUCCUUGUCGGGUAAGUUCCGACCUGAAGCCGGUUACCCGCAACUAGACGGAAAGACCCCGUGCACCUUUACUAUAGCUUGACAAUGAACUUUGGGCUGGUUUGUGUAGAAUAGGUGGGAGGCUUUGAAGUGGGGACGCCAGUUUCCAUGGAGCCACCUUUGAAAUACCACCCUGAUUAUUCUGAAGUUCUAACCUAGACCCGUUAUCCGGGUCGGGGACAUUGUCUGGUGGGUAGUUUGACUGGGGCGGUCGCCUCCAAAAGAGUAACGGAGGCGCGCGAAGGUUCCCUCAGGCUGAUUGGAAACCAGCCGAAGAGCGUAAAGGCAUAAGGGAGCUUGACUGCGAGACAAACAAGUCGAGCAGGUGCGAAAGCAGGUCUUAGUGAUCCGGUGGUUCCGCAUGGAAGGGCCAUCGCUCAACGGAUAAAAGGUACGCCGGGGAUAACAGGCUUAUCACGCCCAAGAGUUCACAUCGACGGCGUGGUUUGGCACCUCGAUGUCGGCUCAUCGCAUCCUGGGGCUGGAUAAGGUCCCAAGGGUUUGGCUGUUCGCCAAUUAAAGCGGUACGUGAGCUGGGUUCAGAACGUCGUGAGACAGUUCGGUCCCUAUCUGUUGUGGGCGGAGGAUAUUUGAGAGGAGCUGUCCCUAGUACGAGAGGACCGGGAUGGACGAACCGAUGGUGUUCCAGUUGUCGUGCCAACGGCAUAGCUGGGUAGCUAAGUUCGGAAGGGAUAACCGCUGAAAGCAUCUAAGCGGGAAGCCCACCUCAAGAUAAGAUAUCCCUCUUGAUGGAGACAUCAAGACUGAAGACCCCUUGUAGACUACGAGGUUGAUAGGUCAGAUGUGUAAGCACAGUAAUGUGUUCAGCUAACUGAUACUAAUCGGUCGUGAGGCUUGACCAU
rnacentral:rRNA from 1 species